rnacentral:rRNA from 1 species
CCUACGGGAGGCAGCAGUGGGGAAUAUUGGACAAUGGGGGGAACCCUGAUCCAGCCAUGCCGCGUGUGUGAAGAAGGCCCUCGGGUUGUAAAGCACUUUCAGUGAGGAAGAACGCCUGGUGGUUAAUACCCAUCAGGAAAGACAUCACUCACAGAAGAAGCACCGGCUAACUCCGUGCCAGCAGCCGCGGUAAUACGGAGGGUGCGAGCGUUAAUCGGAAUUACUGGGCGUAAAGCGCGCGUAGGUGGCUUGAUAAGCCGGUUGUGAAAGCCCCGGGCUCAACCUGGGAACGGCAUCCGGAACUGUCAAGCUAGAGUGCAGGAGAGGAAGGUAGAAUUCCCGGUGUAGCGGUGAAAUGCGUAGAGAUCGGGAGGAAUACCAGUGGCGAAGGCGGCCUUGUGGACUGACACUGACACUGAGGUGCGAAAGCGUGGGUAGCAAACAGGAUUAGAUACCCCGGUAGUC